GAUGUCUCAAAGCCCUUCACGGGAUUGACUGUAAAGCGUCGUGACUGCGUGGUUUGUAGGCAGAGCGGACGUGGUUUGUGGAUGAAGAUGCCAAGAAAAGUCACCACUGUCUAGAUUCAACAGAGCAUUUGAGUGCUCUGGUACAUCGAUACCUUUGAUGCAACGAAGAAGACCAUAAUAAUAAUGCCAACAUUAAUCCUCGGAUUUAAUGCAGCCCCUUAUCAUGUCUUCGAGACGUCUCAAAGCGCUUCACAGUAUACAUUACAUAUCUACAGCACCACAGAAUAUUCGCCCGUGUAGGAACCCUUUUGAAGCAAAGAAUCCCUGCGAGGGCUCAUUUGUAACAGAGCGCAAUCAGCAAUCGCCCGGGAGCAAUUCUGAAGUCAGAUGAUAUUUUUGGAGCAGUGGCCCCUAUCCACAUCGUAACUGCUGCAUAAUUCUGCCAAAUGUAGGUGAGUGGGGUGUAGCCAAUAACGUGUGGGAUAUUACCCACGCUGCAGAUUCCUCUCACAAAAAUAGCACUGCAGUUCCUUCCUCCUCAUUUUACAGCGAUGUAUUCAAAUCACCGAA